rnacentral:rRNA from 1 species
AUUACCGCGGCUGCUGGCACGUAGUUAGCCGGGGCUUCCUCCUUGGCUACCGUCAUUUUUUUCUUCACCAAGGACAGAGUUUUACGACCCGAAGGCCUUCUUCACUCACGCGGCGUCGCUGCAUCAGGCUUUCGCCCAUUGUGCAAUAUUCCCCACUGCUGCCUCCCGUAGGAGU